GAUGAAGAACGUAGCGAAAUGCGAUAAGUAAUGUGAAUUGCAGAAUCCAGUGAAUCAUCGAAUCUUUGAACGCACAUUGCGCCCUCUGGUAUUCCGGGGGGCAUGCCUGUUCGAGCGUCAUUAUAACCACUCAAGCUCUCGCUUGGUAUUGGGGUUCGCGGUUCCGCGGCCCCUAAAAUCAGUGGCGGUGCCUGUCGGCUCUACGCGUAGUAAUACUCCUCGCGAUUGAGUCCGGUAGGUCUACUUGCCAGCAACCCCCAAUUUUUACAGGUUGACCUCGGAUCAGGUAGGGAUACCCGCUGAACUUAAGCAUAUCAAUAAGCGGAGGA
rnacentral:misc_RNA from 1 species